UACAGAGGGGGCAAGCGUUGUUCGGAAUUACUGGGCGUAAAGGGCGCGUAGGCGGCCUGUUAAGUCGAACGUGAAAUCCCCGGGCUCAACCCGGGAACUGCGUCCGAAACUGGCAGGCUUGAAUCCGGGAGAGGGAUGUGGAAUUCCGGGUGUAGCGGUGGAAUGCGUAGAGAUCCGGAAGAACACCGGUGGCGAAGGCGGUCGACUGGGCCAGUACUGACGCUGAGGCGCGACAGCGUGGGGAGCAAACAGG
rnacentral:rRNA from 1 species